AGUUAUUUUUAUCAAUUUAUAUUGUUAAAAAUUGAUAUAACUAACAGAAUAACCGAAUAGUGAAAUGUGAUAUGCCAUGUGUACAUCAUGUUGAUGUGCAAUGAUCAGUUUUUAACAAUAAAAAUUGAUAUAAUUUUAACA
rfam:Gossypium hirsutum cultivar TM-1 unplaced genomic scaffold scaffold755.1, whole genome shotgun sequence